CGAGGGGUAACAGGGUGCUUGCACCGCUGACGACCGGCGCACGGGUGCGUAACGCGUAUGCAAUCUGCCUUACACUGGGGGAUAGCCUUUAGAAAUGAAGAUUAAUACCCCAUAGUAUUAUUAGUUCGCAUGGAUUAAUAAUUAAAGGUUACGGUGUAAGAUGAGCAUGCGUCCUAUUAGCUAGAUGGUGUGGUAACGGCACACCAUGGCAACGAUAGGUAGGGGCCCUGAGAGGGGGAUCCCCCACACUGGUACUGAGACACGGACCAGACUCCUACGGGAGGCAGCAGUGAGGAAUAUUGGACAAUGGGCGGAAGCCUGAUCCAGCCAUGCCGCGUGCAGGAAGACUGCCCUAUGGGUUGUAAACUGCUUUUAUACAGGAAGAAACCACGCUACGUGUAGCGUUCUGACGGUACUGUAAGAAUAAGGAUCGGCUAACUCCGUGCCAGCAGCCGCGGUAAUACGGAGGAUCCAAGCGUUAUCCGGAAUCAUUGGGUUUAAAGGGUCCGUAGGUGGAUAAUUAAGUCAGGGGUGAAAGUUUGCAGCUUAACUGUAAAAUUGCCUUUGAUACUGGUUAUCUUGAAUCAUUAUGAAGUGGUUAGAAUAUGUAGUGUAGCGGUGAAAUGCAUAGAUAUUACAUAGAAUACCA
rnacentral:rRNA from 1 species